UAUAAACUUAGUCUAUGUGAGAGAGUGGAGGAAUAUACAUACUAUGCUACGCAAGGAAAGGAAGCCAUCUUGGUCUUUGCUUUGAACCUCAAACGGUUGUGGAAACUCACUGGAACUAGAGAUGGUAUUGCAGAUAAAGCUGGAUUGGAAUAGCUCUUCGAGAGAGACGGGAAAUAAAACUUGUUGGGAUUUUUAUAAUGUUUUCUUAUUUAUGUUCGUUUGAUUUUGUUAUUUUAAGAAACAAUUAAGAUUUGGUUUGUUGUAAUGUAUGAACUUAUGAUGUGUGUAUGGUUUGUUUAUGUGUGGUAUAUUUAAAAAAAAAAAAACACUUUCAUAAGAUUCAUGCUUCAAGAUUA